UUACAUAUCACAGAUGCAUAGAUCAAUACUCAAUCACUGGAUCCAUACCAUGCCCAUGUCGGUCAGCACUGUCCUUAUGAACAUCAGUAUCUGCCCAUGUUCCCAUGUCAGUCAACACUGUCCUUAU